GACCUCGUGGCGCUCAGGCGUGGCCUCCGAGGGCGGAAGCGUCUGCGCGAUUGUGGGCAGGCAGAAGGCGGACGCCCUCCCGGAGGAUGCCUCUCUAGGUUACGCGUUCGAUUUCAUGGCUUGGUCUUAAAAAGAGGCCCCAAGACAGGGUUCCAGCGUUGCUUCCUUCUGAGGAGCCCUAGUUCCGGCUGUCGGCAGCUCACCCGGAGUGAGGGAAUUUCUCUGCUCCCUGGCAGCUGAGUGUAACUGUUUAACUAAGUUCCGGUGAGUAACGUAAGUGUCAGUGUUGUGUGGCAGCUUUGGGGGAGUGUCCUUUACAAGAGCUGGCACACGCCUUUGGCAUCUCCUUAACUCUUG
rnacentral:lncRNA from 1 species